GAUGAACGCUGGCGGCGUGCCUAACACAUGCAAGUCGAACGGAGAUUUAACGCUGAUGAGGCUUCGGCGGAUUCUUGUUAAAUCUUAGUGGCGGACGGGUGAGUAACGCGUGGGCAACCUGCCUCAUACUGGGGGAUAACAGUUGGAAACGACUGUUAAUACCGCAUAAGCGCACAGCAUCGCAUGAUGCAGUGUGAAAAACUCCGGUGGUAUGAGAUGGGCCCGCGUCAGAUUAGCCAGUUGGCAGGGUAACGGCUUACCAAAGCAACGAUCUGUAGCCGGCCUGAGAGGGCGGACGGCCACAUUGGGACUGAGACACGGCCCAAACUCCUACGGGAGGCAGCAGUGGGGGAUAUUGCACAAUGGAGGAAACUCUGAUGCAGCGACGCCGCGUGAGUGAAGAAGUAUUUCGGUAUGUAAAGCUCUAUCAGCAGGGAAGAAAGGCUCGUAAGAGAGAU
rnacentral:rRNA from 1 species